UACGUAGGGGGCAAGCGUUGUCCGGAUUUAUUGGGCGUAAAGAGCGUGUAGGCGGCUAGGUAGGUCCGUUGUGAAAACUCGAGCUCAACCUCGAGACGCCGGUGGAAACCAUCUAGCUAGAGUCCGGAAGAGGAGAGUGGAAUUCCUGGUGUAGCGGUGAAAUGCGCAGAUAUCAGGAGGAACACCGGUGGCGAAGGCGGUUCUCUGGGCAUUACCUGA
rnacentral:rRNA from 1 species